AAAGUAGAAGCAUACAUUUAUAUUUAAAAAACCAACACUUUUUUUUAGUGUUCUUGCUCUGAAAUUCCUAGUUAGUCAAAUGUUGAAUGUCCUGAAUUGAUUCUUGUAUAGGACAGGUUUGGCUGUGAUAAAUUUCUGUUGUGAAUUUUCAGUACUAAACCCCAGAAUUGUUUGCCUCAUAGUCAUGUUCAGAAUGAGUUGUGUGAGUUUACUUCUGCUCCACAUGGUCACACAGGUACACAGCUGAUGGAGGCAUCACCAUUUGUUGCAAAGCUUGUUAUCAAACAAGGAAGCGAGUGGAGAAUUUUCUCUAUCUCAGCCUGGAGGUGACACAUAUCUUUUCUGCUCACAUUUCAUUGGCCAUAACUAGUCAGAUGAUGCUGAGAAACAUAGUGGAACAUUUGACAUAUGAAAAAGGUCCGAGUUGCAGGAAUUGGAGAAGAUGUCAAAAGCUAAAAUACUUACUGCUCUCAGUAUAAUGAGGCAGGUAGCAUCAUUUGCUCAAUUCUUACAUCUGAGAAAACGCAGAGAAGGGAAAUACAAUCCCCUUUUUGUGGGUGUGGCUGAAACCUAUGACCUGCUCCUAACCAACAGAGUAUGGCAAGAGUGAUGGAGCUGAUAUUUUCUAUGAUUGUAUUUCAUUACAUAUGAGUCCCUCUCAGCGGAGUCUGCCGGCCUUGAAGGAACAACUGGCAUGUUGUGAAUUGCCCAUGAAGAGAGUCACGCAGCAGAGAACAGUGAGUGGCCACUAGACCUAAAAGCGGACCUCCAGUCAACAGCCAGGAAGAAAUGGAUCUUCAGUCCUACUGAAGUCCAUCUUCAGUCCUAUAAGAAAAUGAGUUUUGCCAACAACCUGAAAUAACUUGAGAUAGAUUCUUCCAAGCCUCCAGAUGUGAAUGCAGCCCCGCCAAUACCUUGACUGCAAACUUGGGAGAUUCCAAUUAAAGGAUCCAGCUAAUCUAUGCUAGACUUCUGACACAUGAUAACUGUGAGAUAAUAAAUGUGUGUUAUUUUAAGCUGCUAAAUUUGUGGUAAUUUUGUUAUACAUCAUA